rnacentral:tRNA from 1 species
GUUGUCAUAGGAUAGUAUAGAAACCUGACUCAUAAUCAGGUGGUCCUUGGUUCGAGCCCAAGUGGGACCA